AGACAGACUUAGAGUUUCUUAAAGAUUGAAAGUUUGAGUGUGAAAAAUGUCGCAGUUUCAUUGACCUGGCCCCAGCAUCGGAGAAGGGCUUGGAUUUCCACUUCUGGAAACUGCUUCUUCUUGUCCUUGGUGCUGUGUGCUUUUCACCUGGAGAAUGGCCAGUGGGCUGAGCUGGGGGCAAUAGGGUGGAGACCACCCGUCUGGACACACUGGGCUGAGGUCGGAGACGGGCACCCAUGUGGCUGA
rnacentral:lncRNA from 1 species